rnacentral:lncRNA from 1 species
CAACACUCUCACCUGCCAGCACGACAAGCUCAGGCGUCAGUGAAGAAUCCACCACCUCCCACAGCCGACCAGGCUCAACGCACACAACAGCAUUCCCUGGCAGUACCACCAUGCCAGGCGUCAGUCAGGAAUCUACAGCUUCCCACAGCAGCCCAGGCUCCACAGACACAACACUGUCCCCUGGCAGUACCACAGCAUCAUCCCUUGGUCCAGAAUCUACUACCUUCCACAGCGGCCCAGGCUCCACUGAAACAACACUCUUACCUGACAACACCACAGCCUCAGGCCUCCUUGAAGCAUCUACGCCCGUCCACAGCAGCACUGGAUCGCCACACACAACACUGUCCCCUGCCGGCUCUACAACCCGUCAGGGAGAAUCUACCACCUUCCAGAGCUGGCCUAACUCGAAGGACACUACCCCUGCACCUCCUACUACCACAUCAGCCUUUGUUGAGCUAUCUACAACCUCCCACGGCAGCCCGAGCUCAACUCCAACAACCCACUUUUCUGCCAGCUCCACAACCUUGGGCCGUAGUGAGGAAUCGACAACAGUCCACAGCAGCCCAGUUGCAACUGCAACAACACCCUCGCCUGCCCGCUCCACAACCUCAGGCCUCGUUGAAGAAUCUACGACCUACCACAGCAGCCCGGGCUCAACUCAAACAAUGCACUUCCCUGAAAGCGACACAACUUCAGGCCGUGGUGAAGAAUCAACAACUUCCCACAGCAGCACAACACACACAAUAUCUUCAGCUCCUAGCACCACAUCUGCCCUUGUUGAAGAACCUACCAGCUACCACAGCAGCCCGGGCUCAACUGCAACAACACACUUCCCUGACAGCUCCACAACCUCAGGCCGUAGUGAGGAAUCAACAGCAUCCCACAGCAGCCAAGACGCAACGGGAACAAUAGUCCUACCUGCCCGCUCCACAACCUCAGUUCUUCUUGGAGAAUCUACGACCUCACCCAUCAGUUCAGGCUCAAUGGAAACGACAGCGUUACCCGGCAGUACCACAACGCCAGGCCUCAGUGAGAAAUCUACCACUUUCCACAGUAGCCCCAGAUCACCAGCCACAACACUCUCACCUGCCAGCACGACAAGCUCAGGCGUCAGUGAAGAAUCCACCACCUCCCACAGCCGACCAGGCUCAACGCACACAACAGCAUUCCCUGACAGCACCACCACGCCAGGCCUCAGUCGGCAUUCUACAACUUCCCACAGCAGCCCAGGCUCAACGGAUACAACACUGUUACCUGCCAGCACCACCACCUCAGGCUCCAGUCAGGAAUCAACAACUUCCCACAGCAGCUCAGGUUCAACUGACACAGCACUGUCCCCUGGCAGUACCACAGCCUUAUCCUUUGGUCAAGAAUCUACAACCUUCCACAGCAGCCCAGGCUCCACUCACACAACACUCUUCCCUGACAGCACCACAAGCUCAGGCAUCGUUGAAGCAUCUACACGCGUCCACA